rnacentral:rRNA from 1 species
GACGAACGCUGGCGGCGUGCCUAACACAUGCAAGUCGAGCGAGAGACUUCGGUCUCUAGCGGCGGACGGGUGAGUAACACGUGGGUAACCUGCCUCAUAGAGGGGGAUAGCCUUCCGAAAGGAAGAUUAAUACCGCAUAUACUCUCGAUACCACAUGGUAUUUAGAGGAAAGGAGCAAUCCGCUAUGAGAUGGACCCGCGGCGCAUUAGCUAGUUGGUGAGGUAACGGCUCACCAAGGCGACGAUGCGUAGCCGACCUGAGAGGGUGAUCGGCCACAUUGGAACUGAGACACGGUCCAGACUCCUACGGGAGGCAGCAGUGGGGAAUAUUGCACAAUGGGCGAAAGCCUGAUGCAGCAACGCCGCGUGAGUGAUGACGGCCUUCGGGUUGUAAAGCUCUGUCUUUUGGGACGAUAAUGACGGUACCAAAGGAGGAAGCCACGGCUAACUACGUGCCAGCAGCCGCCGUAACAC